rnacentral:rRNA from 1 species
CAGCAGCCGCGGUAAUACGGAGGGGGCUAGCGUUGUUCGGAAUUACUGGGCGUAAAGGGCGCGUAGGCGGCUGACACAGUCAGAUGUGAAAUUCCUGGGCUCAACCUGGGGACUGCAUUCGAGACGUGUUGGCUUGAGUGGAGAAGAGGGUCGUGGAAUUUCCAGUGUAGAAGUGAAAUUCGUAGAUAUUGGAAAGAACACCGGUGGCGAAGGCGGCGACCUGGUCUUAACUGACGCUGAGGCGCGAAAGCGUGGGGAGCAAACAGGAUUAGAUACCCCAGUAGUCCCUGUCUCUUAUACC